AGACAGCCAGGAUGUUGGCUUAGAAGCAGCCAUCAUUUAAAGAAAGCGUAAUAGCUCACUGGUCGAGUCGGCCUGCGCGGAAGAUGUAACGGGGCUAAGUAGUAAACCGAAGCUGCGGCAAUACAGUUUACUGUAUUGGGUAGGGGAGCGUUCUGUAAGCCGUUGAAGGUGUGUUGUAAAGCAUGCUGGAGGUAUCAGAAGUGCGAAUGCUGACAUGAGUAACGAUAAGGGGGGUGAAAAACCUCCCCGCCGGAAGACCAAGGGUUCCUGUCCAACGUUAAUCGGGGCAGGGUAAGUCGACCCCUAAGGCGAGGCUGAAAAGCGUAGUCGAUGGGAAACGGGUUAAUAUUCCCGUACUGCUUAUAAUUGCGAUGGGGGGACGGAGAAGGCUAGGUGGGCCAGGCGACGGUUGUCCUGGUUCAAGUGCGUAGGCUAAGAGACUAGGUAAAUCCGGUUUCUUGUUAGGCUGAGACACGACGUCGAGCUGCUACGGCAGUGAAGUCAUUGAUGCCCUGCUUCCAGGAAAAGCCUCUAAGCUUCAGAUUAUAAGCAAUCGUACCCCAAACCGACACAGGUGGUCGGGUAGAGAAUACCAAGGCGCUUGAGAGAACUCGGGUGAAGGAACUAGGCAAAAUGGUACCGUAACUUCGGGAGAAGGUACGCUCUUAUUGGUGAAGUCCCUUGCGGAUGGAGCUGACGAGAGUCGCAGAUACCAGGUGGCUGCAACUGUUUAUUAAAAACACAGCACUGUGCAAAAUCGCAAGAUGACGUAUACGGUGUGACGCCUGCCCGGUGCCGGAAGGUUAAUUGAUGGGGUUAGACUUAGGUCGAAGCUCUUGAUCGAAGCCCCGGUAAACGGCGGCCGUAACUAUAACGGUCCUAAGGUAGCGAAAUUCCUUGUCGGGUAAGUUCCGACCUGCACGAAUGGCGUAAUGAUGGCCACGCUGUCUCCACCCGAGACUCAGUGAAAUUGAAAUCGCUGUGAAGAUGCAGUGUACCCGCGGCUAGACGGAAAGACCCCGUGAACCUUUACUACAGCUUGGCACUGAACAUUGAACCUACAUGUGUAGGAUAGGUGGGAGACUUAGAAGCGCAGUCGCUAGAUUGCGUGGAGUCGACCUUGAAAUACCACCCUUGUCGUUUUGAUGUUCUAACGUAGGCCCCUCAUCGGGGUUGCGGACAGUGCCUGGUGGGUAGUUUGACUGGGGCGGUCUCCUCCCAAAGAGUAACGGAGGAGCACGAAGGUGGGCUAAUCACGGUUGGACAUCGUGAGGUUAGUGCAAUGGCAUAAGCCCGCUUAACUGCGAGAAUGACGGUUCGAGCAGGUACGAAAGUAGGUCAUAGUGAUCCGGUGGUUCUGAAUGGAAGGGCCAUCGCUCAACGGAUAAAAGGUACUCCGGGGAUAACAGGCUGAUACCGCCCAAGAGUUCAUAUCGACGGCGGUGUUUGGCACCUCGAUGUCGGCUCAUCACAUCCUGGGGCUGAAGUCGGUCCCAAGGGUAUGGCUGUUCGCCAUUUAAAGUGGUACGCGAGCUGGGUUUAGAACGUCGUGAGACAGUUCGGUCCCUAUCUGCCGUGGGCGUUGGAAGAUUGAAGGGGGCUGCUCCUAGUACGAGAGGACCGGAGUGGACGAACCGCUGGUGUUCGGGUUGUCAUGCCAAUGGCAUUGCCCGGUAGCUAAGUUCGGAAUUGAUAAGCGCUGAAAGCAUCUAAGCGCGAAGCGAGCCCUGAGAUGAGUCUUCCCUGGCACUUUAAGUGUCCUAAAGGGUUGUUCGAGACUAGAACGUUGAUAGGUUGGGUGUGUAAGCGCUGCGAGGCGUUGAGCUAACCAAUACUAAUUGCCCGUGAGGCUUAACCAUACAACACCGAAGGGGUUUUGU
rnacentral:rRNA from 1 species